UACGUAGUGGGCAAGCGUUGUCCGGAUUUAUUGGGCGUAAAGAGCGUGUAGGCGGCUAGAUAGGUCCGUUGUGAAAACUCGAGGCUCAACCUCGAGACGUCGAUGGAAACCAUCUGGCUAGAGUCCGGAAGAGGAGAGUGGAAUUCCUGGUGUAGCGGUGAAAUGCGCAGAUAUCAGGAAGAACACCCGUGGCGAAGGCGGCUCUCUGGUACGUGACUGACGCUGAGACGCGAAAGCGUGGGGAGCAAACAGG
rnacentral:rRNA from 1 species